GUCACGAUACAUUCAGCAAAACCUGAACUCGCUAAUAGGUGUAGGUGUUACAACAGGAGAGCUAAUUUGUAUCUUGGACUUAACUGACAAAUCAAGAAUCCAAUGACAACUAUCCUAUAGGAAUCAGGGGGGAAAGAGAUGUGAAGAGGGAUUGUACAAGAAUCAAAGAAUUUUGCAUCUCUUUUAUAAUUUAAAUGGAUUGGUGAGAGAGUUAUUUUCUCUAUAGUUUCUUCCAAAUUGGUUUCGAUAUUACAACUAAAACUAAGCAUUCCAGAAAAUGAUGGGAAUCAAAGUGUCUUCUUAAUCAUCCUGGUCUAACAAACAGUAAUGUAAUUCACCUUAGAAUCUCAAUAGUACUUACGUGGCACAGUGUUUGGAGACAGCUGAAAUGUGCUCUCCCCGUAUGCGGACAAUAUAAAACAAGUCUGCAAGCAAAAAAGUUUUAAGUUGUAGACCUGCAGAUGAAAUACAGCGUGUUUAAGUGCAUUUACAGUUUUGCCUACAUGUUUAGUAUAGAAUCAACAGCUGGGGAGGAAAGUGUUUACCAUAUUCUGUACCUUUAUGCAGUGACAAUCCUCUAAAGCUGGCACAGCAAUUACUUUGUGGCCGACCUCCAGCCCCCCCGGCACAAUACAAAUGCACAUCAAAUUCAGAGAGAGAACUUAAAACUGCAUAGAUAACCAUGAGCUUCAUAAACAAGACAUCUAAUCGUUUCUGUCCUCAAUCUUCUGCAACAUCCACGAGUUCAUUUAAAUGAACUAAUUUAGCAGUUUGAUAGUCCUGUAUAUUCAAAGUGAGAAUUAAAGAAUGUAAACUCCUUAAAUUUUUUCAGAAACAGAACAGUUUCAAAUUUUAAGAACCAUCAAGCUAGGAAAUUUGACAUCUUCUAACAUACUACUUUUUGUAUCUAUACACUUAAUCUGAUACUGGGAAGACAUGUAUUGAACAUUUUAAAAACUUAGUAUUACCUUGUCUUUCUACUCCAGCAUGUUUUGUUGCGGGAGAGCAUUUCCAUUUUAUGCAAACAAAGGUGAAGCAGUGAGUUGCACAUUCACCUUAUCGGUUUUUUAUGGGACAUUCGGCUACAUU
rnacentral:lncRNA from 1 species